rnacentral:rRNA from 1 species
AAUCAACGCUGGCGGCGUGCCUCAGACAUGCAAGUCGAACGAUUAAAGCUCUCUUCGGAGAGUGUAUAGAGUGGCGCACGGGUGAGUAACACGUAAGUAAUCUACCUUUGAGUGCGGAAUAACGUCCGGAAACGGACGCUAAUACCGCAUAAUGCAGCGGCAUCGCAAGAUGACAGUUGUUAAAGAUUUAUCGCUUGAAGAGGAGCUUGCGGCAGAUUAGCUAGUUGGUAAGGUAAUGGCUUACCAAGGCUACGAUCUGUAACCGGCCUGAGAGGGCGGUCGGUCACACUGACACUGACAUACGGGUCAGACUCCUACGGGAGGCAGCAGUCGGGAA